rnacentral:lncRNA from 1 species
UUGCAAGAAUUCUGAACGGUAGCAGUUUAAAUGUUUCAAGCAUUUAGCAUGUGGUUACCAAAACUUAUCCAAUUGAAUUAUGAAUAAUUACUGAAAAAUAGAAUUGUAGGUACUAGGUAACCACGUCACUAGGAGCAGCCCUACACGUCACUAGGAGCAGCCCUACACGAAGUGAGAUUUAUCACAAUAAAGUCUUCUACUACAUUUGCUGAGAGCAUUGGCAAAAUAGCACAUGAAAGAUGACUAAGUCCAUUUACACACACAAAGGGGGAGUAGGUGACAGGUGGCUAAGUUGAUAAAAAUUCAGGGAAUAAUAAAUAUUAAGUUAUAGUGCUUAAUCUCAAGUUUACAUAGGUGUAACAAAACGGAAGUGUCAGUGUAAAACGGGAGUACGGGAUAGUUUUUGGGUAUGACAAGACACAAGAGGUCACUGUGAAUUUGAAUGCUUCAGAUCCUCCCCAAUUUUGCUGAGAAGAUUAUAAUUCUAGGAGAAUCCGAAUGCAUCUAAUGAACUUACAAAGAAUGGGAAAGCAAGAGGAUUAAAAAAUAUUCAAGUUACGGCAUUUAGCUGGUUUUGUAAAUCUUGUGGUGCAAAAAUGAGUGAUAAUGUAUAUUGAGCUAGAAUGCAUAACAAUGUAUAAAUGUUCGAAAGAAAAAUUUCAAGCCCCACUAUGAACUUGUAGGUAUUGCGAACUAAACUGAUUAUAUAG